GAUGAACGCUAGCGGCAGGCUUAAUACAUGCAAGUCGUACGGGAUCCGAGGUAGCAAUACUUUGGUGAGAGUGGCGCACGGGUGCGUAACACGUAUGCAACCUACCUUUAACCGGGACACAACCUUGAGAAAUUGAGGCUAAUAUCCCAUAACACUGCGAGAUGGCAUCAUUUUGCAGUUAAAACUCCGGUGGUUAUAGAUGGGCAUGCGCGACAUUAGCUAGUUGGUGAGGUAACGGCCCACCAAGGCUACGAUGUCUAGGGGUUCUGAGAGGAUUAUCCCCCACACUGGUACUGAGACACGGACCAGACUCCUACGGGAGGCAGCAGUAAGGAAUAUUGGUCAAUGGGCGCAAGCCUGAACCAGCCAUGCCGCGUGAAGGAUGACGGCCCUAUGGGUUGUAAACUUCUUUGUACGGGAAAAAACCUCUGGUCGUGUACCAGAGCUGAUGGUACCGUAAGAAUAAGCAUCGGCUAACUCCGUGCCAGCAGCCGCGGUAAAG
rnacentral:rRNA from 1 species